GGAAAAUAAUUUAUUUAUCAAUUUAUUACGAAUGUAAUUAAAUUUUACUUAACUAUUUUAUUCGUUACGUCGUAACGUUAUAAUAGUUAAAAAAAAAAAAAAAAAAAAACAUAUUUGAUUUAAAAUCAUGUAAGAAGGAGCAACGGUGGAUCGAGCAAAAGCGACUUUCGAUGUUCUAAUGAUCGAUAGUUGUCCGUAGAAACGAACCAUCUCUCCCUUCGUAUUUCUCUUCUCAUUCAUUCCUAUCACCGCUCUUCAUCCACGACGCACUUCUCGCCGGUAAUCAACGACAAUCCGAGCACUCCAUCGCGGUUCUCACAAAGACACUGCCGGACCAUUGUCCUUUGAAAUGGAUGGAGAAAGGAGAGCCUUCUUCGGCAAAGCCUCGAGUCCCACCCCCUCUUUGAAAAGCGAGGACGCUCGUCGUCUGGUGAUGUGGUCGAUGCGGUCCUCAUUGCGGCUGCCUCGUCGUUGGCGGAUACAACGCACGAAAAUAUCACGAUUUAACAACUAAUAAGAAUUUCGAAUCGAUGAACUGUAUAUUUAUUUCAUAGGUAUCAUUAAAAAUGUAAUUAAAUUUUCGAAUUCGACGAGUGUAAUCAUUAUGCUUUCGAAAACGUAACGAUUACACUCGCUCGAUAUAGAAAUGAUAAAUAAUGCAUAUAACGUUUAUAUUUAUUAUACGCGUUAUAUUAAUUGACAGAUGAGAAUUUUUCGUCGCAUAAUUUGUUUCUGUCCUGGUAAUACGUUUCGACCCCUCGCUCUUCCAAGAAAUUAUGUUUCAAUGUUAAUUAAAAUGCUUGUCCAAUGAAAAUUAUCUUUUUGAUCGAAUCGUGUAAGCAAUGAAAGAGAGUAAGAGAGAGAAAGAGAGAGAGAGAGAGAGAGAGAGGGAGAGAGAGGAAUGGUAUUAGCACUUAAACUGUUUUAUCGAAGAUACUGAUCGAGAUCCAAGGAUACGGUAUGAGUAUGUAAAUGAGAGGGUUGUUUGUUGGUAUCAGAAACUCUCUCCGAGUACUCUCAUCCAACUGAUUCACGAUCCCGCGAUGGACCGCUUCCUUUAACUUCGAGAAGUCGAGUGGACACGAUUCCUCGAUCGCCCCCGGGUCGAUUUUCGAAACACGUAACUGCCUUGGCAGUUUGCGCUUGCCCUCUCGAGAUCAACGGCGUAGGAUCGAUUUCAGAGAUUCGCCCUUCUCGUUUCAACGACGUGAGCGCGCAUACAGAUGAGAGUCUGUAAAUGUAAUUGCUAAUGGAGUCUCGAGAAUCGAUCGAUUCGUUUACGGCCUUCUUGUCUCGAAAUCGAUAAGCGAUCGUUACGAAUUUCGAUGCAACAACUUUGACGAUAGAUCGAGAGAAAAUCAAAUUAACAUUCUUAAUCGAUCGAUAAUUUUUCUUCGUAAUAUAGAAAUUACGAUUACGAUCGUUUCUUAUGAGAUCCAAUUUAGAAAAAGAAAGAGAGAAAAAGAUACAUAUAUAUAUAUAUAUAUAUAUAUAUAUAUAUAUAUAUCUUUUCUCUCUCUCUCUCUAUAUAUAUAUACAUAUAUAGAUAUACAUAGAGAGAGAGAGAGAGGGAGAGAGGGAGAGAGGAUCUUGAAGACAAUUUAAAUGGAGGACUUUAUAAACGUGAAGAGGAGAAAUGUACUCGUGUUGCUCCUAUAACGAAAUAACGACGACGAUACGAGUAUCCUGAUAGACAUACCUACUCGCGAAACUUCUCAAGCAAGAUUCAAACUAUAAUGGUUCGCAAGGCACAUUGGAAAGAUAUUCUCUCUCUCUCUCUCUCUCUCUCUCUCUCUCUUUCUCUCUCUUUCUUUUUCCUUGAGAAGGCUAGGCGAUCAGAUAGAAUCUUUCGAAGUCAUUCGGUGAUCCUUCGAUUCCUCGCGAUCGAACGGAGUUUCUCGCCGGUAUAAACUUGAAGUAAAAAGUUGGAAAGAGAGAAGUUUGUUAGAUCGACGAAGGAUAGACGAUUCCAGUGGCUAGAGAAUCGGUGAAGCAGCUACGGCAUCAGCAACUACGGCAACUGCGGCAGCAACAGAAACAGCAACUGAAACAGCAACAGCAGCAACUGCAGGAGCAGCAUUUGUCGUGACACGUUUGCUUGGAUGUUGUGGCCCUUGGAGUGCCCGCCGGCUCCUCGCUUUCCAAUGUUCGCUCGUUCACGAUUCCGAUAGGUCGAAGCGAUUCGAGAUUCGAGUGAGGAUAACGUUGCUCGUUGUACGAUCGUAUCUGUCUGUCAGUCGGCUUGAUUACGCCUUUGACGGUAGUACCGAACCUUAGUCCGGUCAAUUAAAGUUUAACGUCUCCUCCAGUCUAUGUCUCGUUCUCUCAUCCUUCUAUUUAUCCUCUUCCUCUGUUCACUUAGAAUAACAUAGUUCGAUGCUCGAUGCCGAAAGCGUGGGGCCCGUUCUUUUUCGUCGGUGACACUAGAUGCCAGCUAGGGGAGGCCGUCGUCACUACCGCCACCGCCUCCGGCGCCUCCGCCGCUGCCGCCACCGCCGCCGCCGCAGACGACGACGACGAUGACGACAAGCGUAAAAGAAGAUCUGGACCAGGAGCGGGCCAACGAGACAAAGCGAAGCGUGACAAAAAGAAAGGACAACGUCCGAUGAAAUAAAGGGAAGGGCCGAAUCCUCUUGGUGUUAGGUUACUCGCACAGGCCAUGUCUUGACCCGUUGUUUUUGAAGAACACACAUUUUGAAUUCACUUCGUGACAACACCCGCUUCUUUUCUCGUCGAUCUAAUUUUACUUAAAUAAAAAGAAAACGAUGAAAAAAAAAA